rnacentral:rRNA from 1 species
UACGUAGGUGGCAAGCGUUGUCCGGAUUUACUGGGCGUAAAGAGCGCGCAGGCGGUCGGAUAAGUCGAAUGUGAAAGCCCCCGGCUUAACUGGGGAGGGUCAUUCGAUACUGUUCGACUGGAAGGCAGGAGAGGGAAGCGGAAUUCCCGGUGUAGUGGUGAAAUGCGUAGAUAUCAUUUGGAACGCCAACGGCGAAAAGCAGGCAGCUGGGGGAUGCACCGACGCUGAGACACGAAAGCCAGGGGAGCGAACGGG